rnacentral:ribozyme from 13 species
GAAAGAAAAAGAAAAAGAAAAAGGAGAAGCGUCCUCCUCUUCUUUUUCUCUUUCUUUUUCUCUUUCUUUUCUCUUUC